UAAAAGUCUGCAAGAUGCAAUUGAAGAAGAGAGUGGGAGUAGUGAAGAAGAUUAUGACAGUGAUAAAGAUAAAGAAUUCCAUCCAAGUGCCCUUGAUUACAACUCUGAAGAUUCAGAUACUGGAUCAUUGAGAGGACAGCCUGAGCCCUCGGGAUUGCAGUGCAUCUCAAUAUCUCCAGAGGAUCAGCCUGCUGAUGCUCUACUACUGCUACA